CAAUCCCUGCAACCCAGCCAUUUUGUUUAAUGAAGAAUGGAAGGCUGGCAUUCAGAGACGUGGCUAUGUGCCGCAUAUUAAUGCGUGCUCUGUAGACAUCCUCCCCCUUUUUAAAUGAGUGGCACAGGAACGAAGCCCUCUACAGAGCAGGCACCGUGGGAGCAGGAGCUCGCAAAGGUGGUGCUGAGGACGUCCUUCGUAGAUUGCGGUGUACGGAAAGGGAGGAAACAAAUAAACCCUUUCCUAGAGGUGUAGCAGAGAUGUUUGGCAAAAUUAGAAUAUUCAUCUGAUAGCAGCAGGAGAAGUUGCUUAUUAACUCACUGCACCGCUCACUUUAAGCCACGAAGCAGCAGAAACCCCAUCAGUACAGAAUUCAGCUCCUGGACUAUCUUGGUGACUUAACGAUGCUGUGCAAAACACAGAGGGCCCAAUUUACCAACUCCGGGCAGAUUCAAUUACUAAAUUUCAUGGCAAUAAAGAGGUCUUUGUGAUUGAUA